rnacentral:rRNA from 1 species
UACGUAGGCAGCGAGCGUUGUUCGGAGUUACUGGGCGUAAAGGGUGCGUAGGCGGCCUGUUGCGUCCGCUGUGAAAUCCCGGGGCUCAACCCCGGGCGUGCAGUGGAUACGGGCUGGCUGGAGGCAGGCAGGGGAGGACGGAAUUCCUGGUGUAGCGGUGAAAUGCGCAGAUAUCAGGAGGAACACCGGUGGCGAAGGCGGUUCUCUGGGCCUGUACUGACGCUGAGGAGCGAAAGCGUGGGGAGCGAACAGG